UCAAAUUUAAAAUCUGGCAGCCUUGGCUGUCCGAGUUGUAAUCUGGAGAAGCGUCUUCCGCGCUGGACCGUGUACAAGUCUCCUGGAACGGAGCGUCAUAGAGGGUGAGAAUCCCGUCUUUGACACGGACUACCAGUGCUCUGUGAUGCGCUCUCAAAGAGUCGAGUUGUUUGGGAAUGCAGCUCAAAAUGGGUGGUAAACUCCAUCUAAAGCUAAAUAUUGGCGAGAGACCGAUAGCGAACAAGUACCGUGAGGGAAAGAUGAAAAGCACUUUGGAAAGAGAGUUAAACAGUACGUGAAAUUGCUGAAAGGGAAACGCUUGAAGUCAGUCGCGUUUGCUAGGACUCAGCCUUGCCUCGGCUUGGUGCAUUUCCUAGUAGACGGGCCAGCAUCACUUUUGGCUGCGGGAAAAAGGUUAGAGGAAUGUGGCACCCUCGGGUGUGUUAUAGCCUCUAGCUGUAUACCGUGGCUGGGAGUGAGGAACUCAGCACGCCUUCUGGCGGGGCUUCGGCCACCUUCGUGCUUAGGAUGCUGGCGUAAUGGCUUUAAACGACCCG
rnacentral:rRNA from 1 species